ACCGCCAAACGAGGACACGUUUAAGCCGACUGGGACAUUCGGUGGUUACCGACAUCCACAAUUGAGCGGAGAGCAAAACAAGUGGCGCCAAAUUCAGUUUUAUACAAACAAUUGCAAGAAGCUAUUUUGAACGACUGCGAUCUCGGUGCGGUAUAAUGUGGGUCGCUAUGGCAGGUAGUGGAGGAGGUUUUGGAGACGAGGGCGAAGAAAUUGCGUUUGAAGAAAUUGCUGUCUCAGGUAAGAGAGGACCAGAGAAUGAGGACAACAACGAGAUGCGGUUUGUGUGGAGGAAAACGGUUGGUGAGGAAUUUAACGUCAUUCUGAAAUCCAAGCAGGGUAGUGAAGUGAACUCGCUGAGUCCGAUUAUAGCCUACAUAACAGCUGAUUUGAAGAAAGCUAUAGGAGACAUAGAGAUGGCGAUAGUCCUAUAUAAUGGGGGUGUAGGCCUAUUGAUUAAAUGCAAAAGUGCGAAACAUUGAGCUAUGAGAGUGUCAGUGUCUGCAAAAAAGAGGCGACAGAAACUGCACCCCAUUCCAGUUAUGGGUCCCUCAUAGGCUAUACACUUCACUUCAGUGAACGUGCGAGACAGUUAACUCUAUUGCCUUUCGUUGGCCAGCUAACGCUGCUAGAAACCGUUACAAUAGGCUAUGCACCACUGGAGCAUUUUCCAUUUAAUGUUAUUGCUCUUAGUAUCAGCCAAAAUAUUCCACUUUUGGUCAUUACUGUUAUCGUUUAUAAGUUUCCAUUAUUCCACUGCCACAACACGUUGCGCAGAAUAAUAGGAAUGUGAUAUUACUCCUCUUGCGCAAGACAUAACACCACCGAAGAAACAUGAACAUCUCUCCCACACACCCAAAAGAGAGCGUUUCCCCGAACACAACAGGUUCUCACGGAGUUAAGAAGCCAAAUAUUUCAUCCAGUCAUGUUCACGGAGCAGCCUCACUGCAUGGUAGCCUAUUAAUCUGACCUCAGAGCAAAUAUGGUACAAAUCCACGGCUUUUCGUGAUACUUAACUAACGUUAGAUUCCACUAGCUACCAAGUGUGUUCGUGUGUGUUCACACAUGCAGUAGAAGAGCAGAUGCUUUUGCUGUGGAGUCUCUGCGUGUGCGUGCGCCAUAGUAGACUAAAAGCCGGGCACCCACCGCACGCGUAUCGACCGCGAACGCACUAGAAACCGUUACAAUAGGCUAUGCAUCACUGGAGCAUUUUCCAUUUAAUGUUAUUGCUCUUAGUAUCAGCCAAAAUAUUCCACUUUUGGUCAUUACUGUUAUCGUUUAUAAGUUUCCAUUAUUAAUGUACCAAGAGUUUCAGACGCAAACAUAGGCUACUCAUUCUUUACAGUUGUCAUGAGUUUUGUUUGAGUUUUGGUUUGCGGGUGCAAGAGUAGCGUAAAGAUACGGUGGACAUGUGGUUAUAUAGGUUAGUGUCAACAAACCUAACAACACUGCCACAACACGUUGCGCAGAAUAAUAGGAAUGUGACAUUACACCUCUUGAGCAAGACAUAACACCACCGAAGAAACACGAACAUCUCUCCCACACACGGAACCAGUGGAGACACGCUACGCGCCGCGCUGUGCUGCUUACGCGCCGCUUACGCUACGCGUGCGGUGGGUGCCCGGCGUUAACACUCGCGCUGCACACAGCAUAUUCUGUAGAGCAUUUUACAUUAAUACAUUUAGCGGUAAUUUGACUUCAACAUUUUGAAAGGUAUGCGGGAUUCUGUUCGCUAAAGCUGAUCUAUGGAGCUUUGGAACUUUGAUUUAAUCACUCGGCAAACCCCAGGCCAGCCUGGAGUUGAAUGGCUACAAAAAACGUGAUAACUUGAUAGUUUAUUUGAAAAAGUAAAACCUUGAAAUUUAUAAUUGAAUUGCAUAAUUGAAACUGAAAGAUUUGCCCAUUUAGAAUGUUGGCUUUUGGCUGUGAAUACAACACAUCAACAUGAGUGCAUUGGUUGAGUUUUAAAUAAUUUAUGGAAAAGUUAAAAGAUCGUUCAGAGGCCAUUAAUAAAUUAAAAUGUGUCCUUAAUUAAAAAAUAUUUUUCUUGACUAACUCUGUUUGGUUUUUAAUUUUAAUGACGCUUCAAUGUAAGGUGGAUUUAGAUAAAUAACCUCUUUCAUUGCAAAUAGAUAUUUCACUUCAGACUCAGCCACAAAUUCCGUUUGCCCGUUAAACGUGAUAACUUUUUUCAUUAGAUAAAUGAAAUUAUAACUAAACUUGUUGAAUUAUGUUUACUCAGGUUCCCUUUGUCAUUUACAUUUAAUCUGAAGAUCUGAAACCAUUCAGUGUGACAAAUAUUCAAUAAUAUAGGAAAUCCGGAAGGAGGAAAAUAACUAGAUAAUCUGCAGUUUGUCAGUGACAGCCAGUGACAGUGACAGCCCUCUCCUGAGCUGAUAUACCCUCUCCUGAGCUGAGUAACCCUUCCUCAGCUUAUAUACCCUCUCUUGAGCUGAGUAACCUCUCCUGAGCUGAUAUACCCUCUCCUGAGCUGACAUUCUCUCUCCUGAGCUGAUAUAUACCCUCUCCUGAGCUGACAUUCUCUCUCCUGAGCUGAUAUAUACCCUCUCCUGAGCUGACAUUCUCUCUCCUGAGCUGAUACACUCUUUCCUGUGAUGAUGAAUGUGAUUCCCUGAUGAGGGACAGAUGUACCAGGAAAAUAAUCAAGAACAAGGACCACCAGUUCCUCGUUGUGGAACCUAACGGCUCCUUGAAGUUUGAGUACAGAAAUGACGUAUCAGAUGAUAGCUGCUUCUUGUUCCAGAUGUAUAAGAACAAUUGCCAAAGCACACCCAGGGGAGUAGCCAUCAUAAUCCAUGUCCUCCUCAAUGAGCAGCAGUGCGUUCUGAGUUGCGUUGAAGAGGGAAAUCAGAAAUACGUUUAUGCAAAACAACCGGAGUCCCCCCUGCCAGAUAUAAUUGAGGACUCCCAACAUGAAGCUGUGUUCUUUCUACAGAGAGUUAGACCACCUGUAGUCAUCCCAGGAAGAGGGGAACAGUAUGGGAAAUACAAGCUAGAAUCUGCUAAGUGGCCAAACUGGUAUUUUAGCUUUAGAGGUGUAGCUGAAGUCACAGAACCUGUUCUGAGCAAAGUCACUGAUGAUAUUGUCAAUGAACAGAUUGAAGUUUCCAUUAUGUCACCAACUUCAUAAAUUUAAAAAACAGAUGAUAAACAACAUCUAAUAAAAAAACAACAAUUUGUAUAAAAAGUAAAACAUAAAUAAAUUUAAAAAAUUUAAAAAGAGAAAUAAAAGUGAACUCAUCAGA